CUAGCCCAGUCACCUUUUUUUCCCUGUCUACACUCUCUGUCCCCCCCCCCUCAUUCCCCGCCCCCCGUGCCCAUCGUGUCCCGGGGCCGCCGCCGCCGCCGCCGCCAGCGCGCGCCAUCUCUGUCCCCUCUCAUUCUCCACGCGGGACGCGCAGACGUGCCUCCACGUGUCCUUAAGCAGAGAUGAAUAAUACUGCAGCUAGCCCGAUGUCUACGGCCACUUCAAGUAGUGGAAGAAACACAGGGAAGGCGAUAAGCUUUGCUGCAGAACUGCAGAGCAUGAUGUUUUCUUUAGGUGAUGCUAGGAGGCCUCUCCAUGAAACAGCAGUUUUAGUAGAGGACGUGGUUCACACACAACUAAUUAACCUGUUACAGCAAGCUGCAGAAGUCUCUCAGCUGCGAGGAGCUAGGGUGAUCUCUGCUGAAGAUCUUCUGUUCUUGAUGAGAAAAGAUAAGAAAAAACUUAGAAGACUUCUGAAAUACAUGUUUAUCCGAGACUACAAAUCAAAGAUCAUCAAAGGCCUUGACGAGGAUGACCUCCUGGAAGAAAAACUGAGUGGCAGCAGCAGUACAAACAAGAGACAGAAGAUCGCUCAGGACUUGAUCAACUCUAUCGACCAGACAGGGGAGCUUCUGGCAAUGUUUGAAGACAACGAACUUGACGAUGUUAAACAGGAGCGAAUGGAGAGAGCAGAAAGACAGACUCGAACUAUGGAUUCAGCUCAAUAUGCAGAAUUCUGUGAAAGCCGACAGCUAAGUUUCUCCAAAAAAGCUUCCAAAUUUCGAGAUUGGCUGGACUGUGGCAGCAUGGAGAUAAAGCCCAAUGUCAUAGCUAUGGAAAUCCUGGCAUAUUUAGCGUAUGAAACGGUAGCACAGUUAGUGGACCUGGCUCUUCUCGUGAGGCAGGAUAUGGUAUCCAAGGCAGGGGAUCCCUUCAGCCAUGCCAUCUCCGCAACCUUCAUUCAGUACCACAGCUCUGCUGAGGGGUCCUGUUUGAAGUCCUGCCCAGACUCUCCUGAGAACACACCGCCUCCUACACCAACAGCGCCCUCUUCUGGAUCCCAGCAUUCCGGGAGAGCCACAUCCGGCUCCCUGGGGAAUGGGAGUGCAGGACAAGACUCGACUAAAAGCAAGCAGAGGAAGAGGAAAAAGAGCACUGCGGCCUGUGGUGUUGAGGCUCACGGCGAUGCCAUCCAGCCCUGCCACAUCAGAGAAGCCAUCCGGCGCUACGGCCACAGGAUUGGCCCUCUUUCCCCGUUCACAGCCACCAAAGGCAGUGGGACCUCUUCAUUCAUGGAGCUCUCUGGUGUCAGUACAAGGCAAUUGCUGGAGGAUCCUCUUGGUUGAUGACAAAGUCACGUGAGUGAGUUGAUGGCCAUAGGAAAGUGGAUGUGGGUAGGACUGCCGAGAGCUCACGGACGCCCUGGAGAAGAGACCCGUUCAUUGGCUCUGCUUCCUCCUGUCUGACUGUUCACGUCCGCUUCAUCUCCUCUGAGUCCCAGUUCUCAUCCAAAAGAUAGUGCCUACCGAAGGAGUGGGAUGGCUUUCCUGGCCUGCUGAGGGGACCAUGGCUGUGCCUGCCGCGACAAGAGAGGGAACGGUACCCCGAGGUCAUUCUUCCCUGUCCUGGCUGAAAAUAAAAUAUGAAUUUACCUUC